UACGGCCAUAUCUUGUUGAAACACCGAUUCUCGUAUGAUUUGCGAAGUUAAGCAACGUGGAUCCUGGUCAGUACCUAGGUGGGUGACCGCUUGGGAAUAUCAGCUGAUGUA